AUAGCCCGGCGAAAGCCGGAUUAAUACCGCAUGAGACCUGAGGGUGAAAGCGGGGGAUCGCAAGACCUCGCGCUAUUGGAGCGGCCGAUAUCAGAUUAGCUAGUUGGUGGGGUAAAGGCCUACCAAGGCAACGAUCUGUAGUUGGUCUGAUAGGACGACCAGCCACCCUGGGACUGACACACGGCCCACACUCCUACGGAAGGCAGCAGUGGGGAAUUUUGGACAAUGGGCGCAAGCCUGAUCCAGCAAUGCCGCGUGCAGGAGGAAGGCCUUCGGGUUGUAAACUGCUUUUGUCAGGGAAGAAAUCUUCUGGGUUAAUACCUCGGGAGGAUGACGGUACCUGAAGAAUAAGCACCGGCUAACUACGUGCCAACAGCCGCGGUAAUACGUACGGUGCGAGCGUUAAUCGGAAUUACUGGACGUAAAGCGUGCGCAGGCGGCUUUGCAAGACAGAUGUGAAAUCCCCGGGCUCAACCUGGGAACUGCAUUUGUGACUGCAAGGCUAGAGUACGGCAGAGGGGGAUGGAAUUCC
rnacentral:rRNA from 1 species